rnacentral:lncRNA from 1 species
CUCUCUCUCUCUCUCUCUCUCUAACAUCGAUCUCAUUCAUUCCGUCCUCUGGGCACACCCACCGGUCUCCUCCCGGAAGAGGGUACGCCUUUCUCAAGUCGAGCCUCCUUGUCCCCGCAGAUUCUGCCGGGAAGGAUCCGUCAGACGCGAGCCUCCUUCCGCCUCCCCCUCGCCAUGGCAGAGUUCGAGAAGCAGAUCAAGGAGAGGACCAAGGCGCUGACGCACCUCUUCAGGAAGGGCAUGAAGGUUGUCGGUCAGUCCUGGAAGAAGGGCUGGUACAAGGUCCGCAACAUCAGGCGAGGAUAGCCGCCACCGCCGAUCCAGCCCCCCUCUCUCUCUCUCUCUCUCUCUGUAUAUCUUCUCCCCUUUUUCUUCUCUCUGUGUUCUUGGAAGGUGCCCCUUCCCUGCUCGUCUGUUUCCCCCCCUGUCAUCUUCGUAUAUGGCCGACGUGUGCGCACUGUGAACAUACAGCACUGUAGGAAAUAAAAGGCAUCAUCUCCCUGUUCAGAUCCUUCCCCUUGUCCAUUCCCCUCCAAGAAUGGUAAGUUUUUCUCCGAUUCCAGCUUUUUUUUCCCCGGUUUCCAGAUCUGCUCCCUGCCAUCUGCAAUAUAUAUAAUCAGGGAAUAAGCGGCCGGAGAUCAUUAGCUUUUGCUCACAAAUGAAUGAUCCGCCAUAAGAUCGCUUGCCCAUCUGCUCUGUUGUUUGAGGAACGGAUGCCUGGUUUCUUCCCUGCCGGCGAGCGCCGCAGAAGCCGAUCAUGCUGGUGAAGGAAAUUAAACUGGGCUCCUCUUCUAAUCAAAAAUUGGAGCCAAGGAUUGAAUCGUGCAGAAUCUGGGCUUUUACGUCCCGGUUCCUAUGAAUCUACCAAGUACCAUCUGAAUGAUUCUGCCGGUUCAUAGCUUGGGCUGAGGGUGUCCACAUGAGGCAAAGAACAGGGCAGGGAACGAUGAAGAAGUGCUCUACAUCCGGUCCUAAAUUAAUCACUUUGGCCCUGAGUUCCUGUGAUUUGACUCCUCUGCUGGUUAGGCAUCAAGAUAUGGAUCUUCCCACUUGAGAACUAGCCCUCAGGAUCUUCCUAUUUACUGGAGGCCCACAAACCAUCUGAGGCCACCUGUUUUCGGCUCCAUGUGUAGAAAACGACGUAAAAACCCAUGAGCAAAGUAAGAGGUUUCUGAUGUCUCCUGCUUUCUGACUAAUGUUAUCUAAUAAAAAAAUCCCAUAAGCAAAAGCAAGCUGCUUUCUGAAAAGUCUAUGUGCUUUUGCAGAUUCGCCAUUCUGUUUGCAGAUAUAAUCUGAAUUCGCCGUGAUUUACAGAUUCCAUAUCUGCAGUCAUAAAGGAAAUGAAUACCGUUCCUGGCCUGCUGUGACUUACAGAGAUGGAUCCUUUUCGAGGACUUCAUGGAUUCAGCAAACUCAACGAUCACGGUUGAAAUUUUUUUUGAAGUCCUGGAAUAGAAGGGCCAUUUUAGCACCCUUAAUGUGGUGAUCAGUCCGUUGACAGGGAGGGUAUCAUACGCAAAUGCAUCUCCAAAGAGGUUCGAUCUUCAGUUGUCAAAAAAGACAGGUGCAAAUGCGAAAAUCUCUUCCAAGCCUGAUAUUUCUAGGCCUAAUUGCUGCAGUUUGAUGAGAAAAUUCAACCCCAGUCAUCCUCCCAUCUAUCAGAAUCUAGCUUCGAGAUUCUAGAAAUCUCUCUCGUUGACUCUUACAGCUCUAUUCCAUCGGUCUUCCGGCUCUCAAGAUGACCAUCGGCCCUAUUUCCAGCUCUCAUGUGGGCCCCGAAUAGCCCUAUUUCCGGCAUAACAGGCUUCAAGAGUUUCAUAAAAUUUUCAACGUCUUUGGGAUUAUUAGCCUCAUCCCCAAGCCACUGCAGUACACUGAGGAUCAGUGAAGGGCUCGGCUUCCAUCCUUUGUCUGGUUCAUAUCCGCAGAGAGCCUUCUCCAUAUAAUGAUGAGCCUUCGCCAUUUCUCCCUUAUCAGCAAAGGCCCUCGCCAAUAUCCCCCAGCUUGAAGGCAGUGGCGCCUUCCCUUCUCUCACAAACCCACCAAGCAUCGCCUCCCCCUUCUCCACAUGCCCCCUUUUGCAGAGCCCAGCAAGGACGACAUUCGGCACUCGAAAUCGACCAUGUUUCCUGAAGAUUCCCAUCUCUUCAGCAGAUCCUCAGCUUCCUCUAAUUCCCCAAGUCUCACCAGUUCCCCGAGCAUGGUGGUGUAAUCUCUGUUCUGAUGCUUCAAACCCAUCUGUUCCUGGAGCUCCCAGAGCCUCCGCAUCUCGGCUUUCUUCUUCAAAGCUCCGUAGAGGGAUAUAAGGUGGCCGUAGCAGAGGUGGUUCUUCCUGUCCAUCUUCUCCUCCGAUUUCUUUAGCGCGGCCGCCGCCUUGUCUGGGAUGCCAGCUUUGAUGUAGAUGUGUGCGACCACAGCAUAGGUGUUCCAGUCGACGACGAUCUGAGGUUGGCAGUCCAUCUCCUCCAAGGCUUCCUCCAUCUCGGAAAUUCGACAUCUAGAGCCGUAGGAAUUGAUGCAGAGCCGGUAGCUGAAGUUGUCCGGCAGGACCCCGUUUUCCUUCAUCUCCGCCAGGACCAGGGGGACCUUCUCGAGCUGGCCAGAGUUCGCGUAGAGGCACAUGAUGUUGUUGUAGGGCAGGGCGGUCGAUGCGAAGCCCAGCUCCUGCAUCUUCUUCAUGUGCUGUAAGGAUUCUUCGACCAGGCCUUCUCUGACGUAGCAGUUGAGCAAGGCCCCGUAGGCCUUCUGCGUCUUGUGCUCCUGAUCCAGGCUGUUGAAGUACAACUCGGCAGGAACCACCCCCCGAACUUGGCCGAUCAGAUCCAACUGUAUGGCGUGGUCACCGGGAGUGAAUCGGCAGAGCUCUCUGUGUUUCAUCCACUCGGAAACCUAUGAUGAACCGAAAAAAUUAUCACAGACAGCACGAGAAGACUCACUGAAAGGAAGUUCUAGGAUUCAGAGGUCUCACAAUAAAGUAGUGCUGUAGAUUUUACUUGUCUCGACAUUUUGGGGACAGCAUUGUCACGAUGAAGAUUGAAGAUGGUAGGUAAUAUCUGCGAACGGAUUCAAUUCAUUUCGCUACAAUCCAAUUAAUUUCUCGAUAGGAAAUUAAAGCGUGAUUCAAAAAAUCGGUUGACCUAGAUCCAGAUGUACACACUUCGAGCGAAUUUGAGACAGGAGAAUCUCGAUUGCAACCACAACCAAUAUUUUAAGAUAGUAACUGAAAAUUUCCUAAAUGCAGAAAAAUAACGCGACGAAAACACUCCCAGGAAGUACUGCACAUAGUUCCCCCGCUCUAACUCAGAGGAGCGAUUUCUAGCAUACACGGCGAGUAAUGCGAGAUUAUCAGUGGAACGGGAGCUUUCUCGAAUUGGGAAAUAGCGUAUCGGCGGCUUAAGAUUUCGUAGGGGAUGUCACAACGUCGAACCUCAAGAGCUUGCUUGUGCCUGUUGCGAUUCCGGAGAUGCUUGACGAGGUCCUGCAGCUCCCCGGCGACGAUCUUCUUCCUGCUCUGCGCCCACCUGUCGAGCUCUGGAAGAAGACUGACGCUAGGGUUCCCCAAUGGGAGGAUGCUCGACAGCAGCGCCUUCCUCGGCGUCGAUCCCACCGAGGAAUACCAUCGGAGAAGAGACUGCCGCAAACACUCCCCACGGCGGACGGCUCCACUGAGGCGCUUGACAGAGAAGAACACAGACGAACCCAUCUCUCUCUCUCUCUCUCUCUCUCUCUCUCAGACAUCCCAUCCGAUUUAUGUAAAAUUAUUAAAUAUAUUUUAACCCUUAAUAAUAAAUAAUUUUUUUAUGACCUGUUAAAUAUGCCCCUCCAAUAUUAUGUCAUAAUUUUAUUUUAAUUAUUUCAGAAAAAGAGGAAGAAAAUUUUAAUAUAAGUCCUUGAGAAAACUUUCAUUUGAGUUGCUACUCGCAUUAAUAUCACUCAUUAUGAAGUAGUUGAGAAACUGCCGAUGCACGGCGUUUCUCAGUCGCUUACACGUGGAGGCCUGUUUGACCGUUGAAAAGCAGGAGCCGCGCUGGGAAGUACGAUCUCAGCCGUAGGAUGGGAUACUUGCCGUUGGGAUCUUCCCAACGGCGAGGAGGACUCCCAUUGGCCGACAAGGCAUUGAUACGAACACCAUUGGUCCACGUCACCACGAUGACAUGCCCGCCUUCCACUGGGUCGUCGACUCGGAAGCUGACGCGCAGGUCCUAUAUAAUGACGUUGGGAGUGGUGGCGGAAAAGGAGGAAAAGCGGAACCAGCAGUCGAAGAGAGAAGGAAGAGUCUCAGACCUUGAUUCAUCGGAGGUCAACGUUCCCGUGGGGGAGAAGGAGCCAUGGCUCGGUCCCCCGGGCGUCUCAGCUCUCUGUUCUUUCUUGGCGUUUUCAUUACAGGUACUCGAUGCGUUGCAUCGCACUGUGAUCUUCCCUCGAUCUGUUCGAUCUAGUUGAAGUUUUUUGCCGGAAAUUGAUUUGUAGGUCAAUGCCGACUUACCGGUUCAUGUUCCCUCCGUAUGGUGAUUUCUUUACUUCUAGUGUGCGAGCAGUUUGUUCUUUCCCCCUGCCUCUGUUCGACCUUAAUUUAAGGGGUAGUUCAUUUGUUUUGAUUAUCUAGGGUGGGAUUUCUAGAAGUCGGCUCGUUAGGAAUGCCUUUUAUAAUUUUUUUAAAAAUUUCACCUGUUAAGAUUUACAUGCAGGAGAAUAUUAUGGAAAGAAAACUAAUCGACUGCAGGAUUUUGUGUAUAUUUGUUUUGAUAAAUGGUUUGUUCAUCUGUUUUUUCCUUUCUCUCUGAACGGAUGCGUAGUUGCCGUCUAUGACUGAACAGAUCUCGGUUGCGUGAAUGAAUGCUUUGAAAAUUACCUUCUAUGAAAUUAAAACUGGCCAUAUAUCAAUCCAAGUAAGAGGCGAAAAGGUCUCCAUAAGACCUUGAACCACAAAAUAUUGUGCAUCAGGUUUAUUCUUCAUCGUUCAGUCUAAUCUCUGCGAGAUGACUCUGGACUUCAUAUCGUAGGAUACGAACUUUGAUUCGAUUAAGAGGUAAAUUAGGACAUCGAAGUAUAUUUUUGGUUAUCUUCCUAAAAAGGAAUGCACAAUCAUUGUGGAAUGGUCCUACUAAAGUACGUCAACUACCGGCCACGAGUUAGCCCUGACCAUUAUUUAAUCUCUUACUUAACCUGUCGAAGUGAUAUUUUAUCGUUAUACUGCAACAAUUUGGCGUGAGAUAAUAUCAUACUACGGAGAAAAACAUAGGAGAUGCUCUCUCUUUUGGUGUUGUUUAAAUGUGUGCAUGUCGAGACUGGAAGAGUCGAUUGACCUGUGUUUUUUCCC